UACGUAGGUGGCAAGCGUUGUCCGGAUUUACUGGGCGUAAAGAGCGCGCAGGCGGUCGAUCAAGUCGCGUGUGAAAGCCCCCGGCUCAACUGGGGAGGGUCACGCGAUACUGAUCGACUCGAAGGCAGGAGAGGGUAGUGGAAUUCCUGGUGUAGCGGUGGAAUGCGCAGAUAUCAGGAGGAACACCGAUGGCGAAGGCAGGUCUCUGGGCCGAUACUGACGCUGGAGGAGCGAAAGCGUGGGGAGCGAACAGG
rnacentral:rRNA from 1 species